rnacentral:rRNA from 1 species
GGUGGAGCGAUUUGUCUGGUUAAUUCUGAUAACGAACGAGACUCUAGCCUACUAAAUAGUGCACGAAUCUUGGUUCGUUGUACUUCUUAGAGGGACAAGGGGUAUCUAGCCCCACGAGAUUGAGCAAUAACAGGUCUGUGAUGCCCUUAGACGUCCGGGGCUGCACGCGCGCUACACUGAAGGAGUCAACAUGCUUUGUAACCUAGCUCGGAAGAGCCGGGUAACCCAAUGAAACUCCUUCGUGCUUGGGAUAGGGAAUUGUAAUUAUUUCCCUUGAACGAGGAAUUCCUAGUAAGUGCGGGUCAUCAUCUCGCGUUGAAUACGUUCGCCUUCGUUAC